GGGGACAGGCCAGGGCAUCUAGGCUGUGCACAGUGACGACGCCCCUCCUGCCCCCACAG
rnacentral:miRNA from 1 species